rfam:Triticum urartu cultivar G1812 contig1337163, whole genome shotgun sequence.
AACUAGGUCUUUUUAAAGACCACAAUAUUUUACAAAGGAGUAAAUAU